rnacentral:rRNA from 1 species
GACGAACGCUGGCGGCGUGCUUAACACAUGCAAGUCGAACGGAAAGGCCCUGCUUUUGUGGGGUGCUCGAGUGGCGAACGGGUGAGUAACACGUGAGUAACCUGCCCUUGACUUUGGGAUAACUUCAGGAAACUGGGGCUAAUACCGGAUAGGAGCUCCUGCUGCAUGGUGGGGGUUGGAAAGUUUCGGCGGUUGGGGAUGGACUCGCGGCUUAUCAGCUUGUUGGUGGGGUAGUGGCUUACCAAGGCUUUGACGGGUAGCCGGCCUGAGAGGGUGACCGGCCACAUUGGGACUGAGAUACGGCCCAGACUCCUACGGGAGGCAGCAGUGGGGAAUAGUGAACAAGGUGCGGAAGCCUGAUGCAGCAACGCCGCGUGCGGGAUGACGGCCUUCGGGUUGUAAACCGCUUUCGCCUGUGACGAAGCGUGAGUGACGGUAAUGGGUAAAGAAGCACCGGCUAACUACGUG